CGCUGGCGGAGGUGGGAGUAAACGUCACUUUAAGUGUGAAGCAUAAGCAACUUUCAAACAAAUCUCAAGUUAUGUGGGUGUGUGUGCGUAGCACUGCGUCAUCAAGUAAAUGCAAUACACUUGACAUAGCGCAUGAAAUGGACAAAUACGCUCCACCCUCAUGUAAACAACUUGGUCUAACUUUAUUACCACAACGGAUGCCCUCCACUCAAAUGCGCGCCCACGCAGUACUAACGCGCACCUUCUCGCUGGCUUCAGUCGCGACUCACCGCGUGGACUACUACGACCAGCUACUACGAAUGCAAACGUGAAGACAGUUUGGCUCCUGGGCGUCUUUCACAAGAGAAAGAGAGAAGCCACAAGAGGACCUUCCUCCUUGUCCUCCUGCCUGGAAAAUCUUCUCACUCCUCACCACCAGCAUCUUCUCACCUUUCUUGACAGGCGUACCGGACUUGGCAGAAUCAUUUGGACAGUACGGCGCUUUUCAUCACUACAUCUUGGCGCAGGUCAAAAAAGGGUGAGUGUUUAUCUGGUAACAGUUGUGGACGUGUUUUCAAUCUUGUAUAGCAAUAAACAAUAAGUUGCUCACAGUAGUAAAGCCAGGAGUUGGUAUGUUCCACAUGACAUCGGAAUGAAUGUUUUGUGAAAAACCAAUAGUGGUUAACUAGCGCUGGUGUGACUGAGUCAAAAUUAGUAGCUAAUUAAAAAAAAAAA